UACGAAGGGUGCAAGCGUUACUCGGAAUUACUGGGCGUAAAGCGUGCGUAGGUGGUGCGUUAAGUCUGUCGUGAAAGCCCCGGGCUCAACCUGGGAAUGGCGAUGGAUACUGGCGCGCUAGAGUGCGGUAGAGGAGAGUGGAAUUCCCGGUGUAGCAGUGAAAUGCGUAGAGAUCGGGAGGAACAUCAGUUGCGAAGGCGGCUCUCUGGACCAGCACUGACACUGAGGCACGAAAGCUAGGGGAGCAAACAGG
rnacentral:rRNA from 1 species